rnacentral:misc_RNA from 1 species
UUGAGUUUGGUGAAGGAAGUCCCAGGUCGCGCAUAAAUUCGUGUAUCGAUCUCUUUCUGCAAUCCAGAGUUCCAGACUCAAAAUCGAAAUCCCAUAUCUAUUAAUUUCACCAAUCAAACUUCGAACCCCAGAAACCUCUUCAAAAUGCAAGCAAAAGCCCAUCAAAUCCUCCUUCAAUUCCCUGACUCAGGCGUACAAACCCUAACCCUAGAUCACACCCAAGCCAUAACCCUCCACAGCCUCAAGCUCUCUCUUUUCCCCAAUAAUCGAAAUCUCUCCUCUUUCUACUUCACUCUCAAUGGAAAACCCCUUCAUGAUUCUACUCUUAUUCCAAAUCAUAAAAUUUCUCGUCUUUCCACCCUCGUUUUGCACUCUCGCCUCCCUGGAGGCGGUGGCGAUGGCGGUGCAACGGGUGCUGAGUCCCGUGACUGCUAUCUGAACAUGUACGCGGACAAAAAGCCUGAUAAGGUUGAUCCGAACGAGCAGAGACUUUCGAAAUGGCUCAAUUGCGCUCUCUCCAACGAGCCCUUGACGCAGCCCUGCGUUAUCGAUCGCCUUGGUAAUAUAUUCAACAAGGAGGCGUUGGUAGAGGCUUUGAUAGGCAAAAAAUUACCCAAGGAGUUCGGAUACAUAAAGGGUUUAAAGGAUAUGUUAAAUAUCAAGCUAGAACCAAUUCCUGGUGAGGAAUCAAAUAAUGCAAGAUUUCAUUGCCCGAUAACAGGGUUGGAAUUCAAUGGGAAGUAUAAGUUUUUUGCUUUGAAGAAUUGUGGCCAUGUUUUGAGUGCUAAGGCAUUGAAGGAGGUGAAAUCAUCAUCAUGCUUGGUUUGUUACAAGGAAUUUGAGGAAUCUGAUAAGAUUGUGAUAAAUGGAAACGACGAGGAGGUGGCAGUUUUGAGGGUAAAGAUGACGGAAGAGAGAUUAAAAGUGAAGGAUAAGAAGCCAAAGAAAGUGAAAAAUGGGGAGGUGGCUGUUAAUGGAGAAGAUAGUGUGGUUCUGGAUUCACAGUGUUUAAGUGGUAAAAAGCAUGGGCUUGUUGAUGCUAAGGGUGUAGAGAAAGUUGUUGGUGAAGUGGAAGCAAACGGGAAGGUUGAGACUGUAAAAGGAGUGACUAAUGGUGGCGCAGCGAAGCGGUUCAAGGCAGCAGAUAGGGCACCAGCCAAUGCAAACAAAGAGGUGUAUGCAUCUAUAUUUACUUCUUCUAAGAAGUCAGAUUUUAAGGAGACAUUUACCUGUAGGUCGCUCCCACUUGGUAGGAACUGAUUGCUGAAGGUUUGCGAGGGUGUCGUCUGUCCAUUUUUUAGUUGAUGCUUUUAUUUUCUUUGUACGCUGUAAUUUAGAGUUAAUUGUUUGGAAAUUGGAAUAGAAAGGCCUAAUGUCCUGAGGCUUGUCAGCCCUUGUGUCAUCUUUGGUGGUUUGCUGGGAAAUCAAAUCUAUUUGUGUAAUUGUGCUUUUCAUCAUGAAUCAUUACAUGGGAAUUUUUCUCUCUUAUUGGCUUAUUUCUGCUUAUUUAGACUUCAUAAUUUGUUGACAUGGUUUCUGGUAUUACUGAAAUUAAGUCACCAUUAUCACUUACUUGCAUUUAGAAAGAAGCAAACAAAAGAAAAGAAGGUUGAAGAAAACUUUUGCCGUGGCAAAUUUUGAUAGUUGAACAAGCGUUUUGCAGCCUACAUCUGAAUCUGCCUUGAUAUUUGUAUACAUGUAUUUU